GAAGCUAUGUGAGGACACAAACAGAAGGUGGCUGUUUGAAAGCCGGGAAGUGAGCUCUCACCAGAAGCUAACCCUGAUCGCACCUUGAUCUUGGACUUCUGUCCUCCAGAACUGCACUGGAGUCCCAGCAGUGAGGAUGAUGUAAUUUGAUGUGAUCCCAUCUCCAAGGAGCUGUGACAGAUGAUAAAGAGGUAUUCAGCUUAAACACAAUAUUCCUAACCCUGGACCUUGCUAUAAAGUGCUCUCUUGGAGGUGAGAACUGAGGAAAUACUACAGAAAGAAGGAGGAGGCAGAAAGAACACUAAGACUGAGAGGUAUCAAUAUUGAGAAGAGCUUCUGAGACUGGUCACUUGUUCAUUCGUGUAUUGAGUUAGAACACCCAGUAUAUUUGGACUUUGUUGCAUGCUCAGACUGCUUCUUCUUCAAGAUAGCUUAUUCUAGUUUCACUGAUGCAAUAUCCUCUAGGAAAAAGAAAAUCUGACUCCUUGUAUCAAAUUUAUUUCAGUGAUAGGCCAUUUCUCUUCAUCUUCCUCCUUGUAUACUACAGGAUCUUUUCACUGGUCCAGUGGUUUUUCUCUUAAUCCCUCUAAGGUGAAGCAAAAUUCCCACUGCUAAAACCUCUUUCAUCCUUCAGCUCUCAUGCUGGGCAGAUGUCCUUGACACCCUAGCUCUCUGGGAAUACAGCCCUCCCCAUGGUCUCUCCUUGCCUCUUGGUACUGGGAACUCUGUAGAAGUGAUGUCUUCCUAGUACUUCUUGCUUCUCAUGUUCAGUGCCCAUGGAUCAAUCCCAUAUGACUUUUAAAUCUGGUUCAUAUUUUACCAUAUAGGAUAAUUUCCUUAAGAUUCAGAGUAAUGACAACAUGGCUAGUUUCUAGUACUCAUUUUAUGAGUUUCCAUGGAGAUCUGAGAGUAUGGUAUGGUAUGGAAUCAAAGUGAUGUAAAAAAGUAUUUAACAACUGGUUAUGGCAUGGCUCAACACAAUCAGUGUGGGUUUGGCCUCAUACAACCAGCAUGGCUGUGCUGAGAUGUACCAGCUGAAUACCAGUCUUCACCAGAAGGUAGAUUCCUAGGCCUACUUAACUGUCUCAUCCAAAAGCCCUGGCCAGAAUGAAGUUUACACUUUGGAGCUAAUCAUAUGUUCAAUAGCAGCCAGUUUUCCUUAGCAGCCAGGAGAUACUGAGGUAUGUUGGAUGAAAUGGCAAUAUUUCCUUGAACAGCACAAGAAAGAGCUCACUUCUCAGCAGAAUGUGUUCUUGGUGCUAUUCUUGUAUCUUUCCCUUUCAUAACACAAUCUAAGUAUUGCUUAUCCUUUCACUUCCUGUUGUAUUGCAUUCUUGGAGUUGUAGUCUCUGACCAGAUGUCUAGAGAGUGGAUUAGAUGAGGAAGGUAGGCGGGCAGCCAAGACGGACAAGCUGGACACUUCAAGAAUGGCCAUUUUUUGUUGUCUUUUCUGGAAUGUUAGCUCCAUGCAAACAAGGGACUUGCCUGUUUUGAAAUUUUCUUUGUUUAUUUUUAGCACUUUAUCCUCAGGUCUUAGAACAGGAGUUCAGCAGAGAGCUGACUAACUGAACAUGUGAAUGAAUGAGCAGGCCAAUUCCAGAUGCUCUUCUCAGAGUUGCUGCUUCUUCAUCCUUGCAGUUCCUUUCCUCCAAUGACUCUUUUUCUCUCCUCAUGUCCUUUGCUGCAGUGUCUCCCCUGCUCUCACCUCAGGAGGGCUCCCUGGCCUGUUGUGGGCCACGCUCAACAGGAAUCAGAGUUUAUGCCUAGCAGUUGUAUGACUGGACUCAUGCAAUCUGCCCUGGUCCUCAAGCAGAGACCUUGCUUUGGAGGUUGGUGCCUCGUUAAGUGCAGGAACCACACUCCUGAGGCCAUUGUACAAACUGUUUCAGAUCUGGACUGCCACUUUCAAUCACACACACACACAUACAUUGUUGGUAUUAAUUCAAGCAGAGGUUACUUUGAAAAUUAGCCUUUGACCUUGACUGUAGAUUUCACCUGAGCCAUAGGUUAGGGUGGGGUAGAGAUGCAGAUGGAGCAGGCUCAAGGCUUGAAGCAUGAGGCCCAGAGGACACAAGGGCAGCUGACCUGGGCUACUUUUGGCAGGCAGCCCCCUCUUUGGGCUACAGAGCCUGGAGAAGCACCCUCACUUGUCCAAUGCUAUAAAGGCAUCUCAGAAGCCUCCCAAGCUCAUACUGCCCCUGGUGCAGAAAUGGGGGUGGGGCGGGGGUAGGGACUGAGCAGCUGCACAUGGCCUGCCUCUGCCCAGAGGCCUUUCUUACCUUGUAUGGGUUUGCUUGGGGUCCUCCUCAUGAACCCCAAGGAACACUGCUUUAUUUUAGUUUCAAGAGUAAACCUGUUUUGGUAAGAUUACUUGGGCCUCUCAUUGGAUAGAAUCCUCUGGUUUUAUCUAGCUCUUGCUCAAACGUCAUUUCAUUGAGUCUGGGUCUGAGGACCAACCCUACCACUUUCUACUCUUGAAAUCCUUUAGUUCCUGUUAGUGUCCUUCAGAGUUGUUCUUUGGAUUGAAUUGGAAAAUGUUUAUCCAUUCUUCAGUGUGGUAUCUGGCACCUAUUGGUGCUCACAUGGGCCAGCUGCUUCUGCAGAGCCUCAUCAUAGCCACAUGGAGAGCUAGAGGGGACCCUCCCUCCCGAGCACCCCAAGAAUAGAUGAUCUGGAAUCCAGACCCCAGCCCAGUGCUCCUUCCUUUCACAGGGCUCUCUUGAGGCUGAGAAAUUUAAUGACUAUAUGAAUAUCUUUGUCAGAUUUUCUCAGGCAAAAAGUAUGUCUUAACUCUCCAUUUGCUGUCCUUAAGAGACCACCAGGAGCUGCUCUGCUUUGUCUUCAGCAUGACCACCUGCUGGAGAAACUCUUAACCACUGGCCCAUAUGGGAUGGGCUGCCCAUCCCUCCUUUCUAGAUGCACAGGCCCUGGCAAUGCCCUCCCUUUGUGUGUGCAUGUGAGUGAAAAUGUUGUGAACUCCUGAAUCCUAGGCUUUUCCCAGAUUUCUGCUAUAAUUCCAGAACAGCAGUGUUGGAGUCACUUUGGAAUAAAUAAAAAUUUUAUUUUCAGAUAGCUUUGAUCAUGAUGAUUUACAUAGAGCUAAUCCAUUUUUCUUUGUUUAAGGCUGAAGCAUGGUUAAUAUAUCCAUUGCUUGUAGAAUAUGUUACUUCCUAUGUGGGCCACCUAUGUGUUACUUAAAAACAAUAUUUGGGGUCAUGUGGAAUAAAGACCUACAA